rnacentral:rRNA from 1 species
AUGGUGGCUUCAGUGGCCUGCUCCUUCUUCUUCGACGACGAGCUGCUCGGCGAGCCUGGCAUGCCGGCGAUGGACGCGUGCGCGCUCUGCGCCAAGCCGCUGGCGCGCGACAGCGACGUCUUCAUGUACAGAGGAGACACGCCCUACUGCAGCGAGGAGUGCCGGCGCGAGCAGAUGCACCUCGACGUCGUCUGCGCCAAGCAGGACGCGCGGAGACAGCAGCGGUUCUCGGCGGAGACGGAGUCCCACCGUGGGCAGCGGCAGUCCAGCAAGGUGUCGAUCGCAAGCUAA